GUCAAAGACCAGUGAAAUUUGGUAAGCUUGUGGGAGUUGGAGGUGAGGAGGCUCCAGAGGAGCUCUGUAGUUUACAUUGUUAGCUCAUCCUGUUGGCUGGAAGGAAACAGCAUCAACAGGAACUUCUGCUUAAAGUGAAGUGGUUGUGAUUCUGGACCUAAAUUCAUGAAUCGCUUGAAAAUAUCCCUAAAUAAUGAGUGCAUUGCUUUUUGCAUUGAUGGCUACAGUCAGGAAAAAUGCCAGGAGUUUUCAUGUUUCAGAUAAUUAGCAGUAACUCCAAAUCACAAGAUUAACGUAAAAAUAAGAUGGGAAAAACAAUGUGUAGCAUGGGAGAAUCGGUUUUAUGCCUGCUUCUUUUACUCUGAUAUUGGAUAAGCUUAAAGAGCAAUGUACUCUACAAGCUCAGCCCUUGAGCUGGUAACCUGGCUAGCUAGAGUUUGGACUCAUUUCGAGCAAGUUUCCAGGAACUACACUUGGGGAAGCUUUGCUCUACGGCAUGGUGGACAGCAAACGAGUAUCCUGGCCUCCUGUGUGACAUGUGCAACAGAGCUGCCUAUGGGACAGAGAUUGGUCAGCUCUUCUGAGGCCUUUGAUCUGAGAAAAUGGAUUUCUGUUGUCUUCAAGGCAGGUGAUGGAGGCCAAAGAUGGCAAUGGAUUAAGGAAGAUGCAAGAGCGACCACUAAAACUGAAUGCGAGGAAUACCCCUGCCUACAUCAAACACAGGCACCAGGAUGAAAACGAGACUCGGGCCAGAUGGUUCUCGUGCCCCACUCCCAGCCAGAUGGUUCUGUCCAGGAUGCUUCAGAGAAAAGAGAAUGCCUCCUUCUUCCGCUGACUACACAACACCCCCACCCCAAGACUCCAUCCUGAAUCUGGCCAAGAAGUAUUGUACUCCCCCCCAACAAUUCUUCUAAAAACCAUGGACCUCUAAGAGAGACUUUGUCUAAAAUCAAAAUUCUACUGGUUUGGAAUAAACCUAAAAAUCAAAGCCUCUUUCUCCUCUACUCCCUCCACCACCUUCGCUUGCGCGCACAAACACACAGACACACACACACACACACACAGAAACCCACCUCCAGCUCUCUAUCUGCAUCAUUCCCUUUUCUGCCCCCUCCACACAGACUUAUUUCAUAAAAAUGUCAGCUAUUAAGUUAACAUUAUUUAAGGAGCUUUGGGUUUUAGUUCCUGAAUGCAACCUAAGCUGGACCCGUAAAGGCCUGACACGAAGCCCUGGCUGUAUAAAACAUGAUCCACAGAGUACUAAAUAAAUAACCUGGCCUGGGCUUCCUGGCCUCUCUAUUUAUCACCACAGUAAUGAUAAGGAUCUGAUUUAGAGAGAACUCUGCUAAAGGUUGAACCCAGCACAAGCUGUAAUAUGAUCUGCAGGGGAGGGCUGAUAACCCGAAACAAUGUGAAGAAACCCUGUCAGAUAAAUAAAACAAACUGUUUGUCCAUUAAAUAGCACUGUCAGGAAGAGAACAGGGAAGCCAAACAGAGCUAAAUCCAAUUCUUUUAUAGCUACACAAAGCCAGGAACACCUGAACUGAGCUGGGGAAUAAGCUCACUUAGAAGAAAUAGUUCAGGAAGGGGUGGCUGGUGGAGGGAAGGGGUAGCAAUCUGAUUUACUGAAGUUACUGUGAGAGAAAAAAGUUCCUCUUUGGUCCAGGUCAAGCAAAUCCUGUCCUUUUCUUGGGACUUGGUUUUCUCAUCUGUGCAAUGGGUCCCAUCUUGCCUACUUGGAUGGAUUUUUGAAUUGGAUCCAUGGAAGAAUUUCAGAAAAAAAUAUUCUGAAGAAAAAAAGAGAUGAAUAGAUGAGUCUCAGAUGCAAAUGUCUGCAGUCAUCAUGCUGGUUAUAGAAGGGCUUGAAGUGGGUGUCAAGAAAACAAAUGGGAACAAGAGAUGGAAGGACCCAUGUCAAGCUGCAGUGGCUGCUUAGCCCAGCUAAGACCGCUCCUUAGAAACACAGCCUUCUGGCUGCUAACUGGGAAUGAUUUCCAGAGGUUCAAUGUAUGGAUUCCAAUAUGAAAUCCCAAUAAUUCCAAGAGCUGGAGGUUACUGAAUUUUUUAGAAUUCUCUGUAUGUGUUUAGUCUGAAAGACCUUGUGGAUUUGAUAAGACCCCGAUCUGCAACCUUUGGACUAGAGCAUAUGAAGGUAGAAUGUUUUUAUGACAAUCACUUGAUAUUGGGGUUAAUGCUAGACAACUUAGGGACAUAAAUGAAGCAGAAAUAACAGUGCCCUUAAACUCUCCUGUAGGCCCAUCUUUCAGCUUUUUGAUGUGUAUCCGGGUCCACAUUUCAUCUUACUGUAUCUGACACAGAUGGCAAAGUUUCUCUUUUAUUUGAGGGUGCCACAACUGUCUUCUGAGGUUUUUGUUUCUAGAUAGAGAACCCUGAUCCCACCCUUGGACCAUGUUUCUCAAUGGGAGCAUAUUUGACAUCUUGGACAGAUACUAAAGGUCAAUAGCUUCCUCUGAGGCUCAGGACAAUAAAACACACGUUCCCAUGCUUUACCAAUAGCAACAACAACAAAAUCCUCUGAUAUUUUCCUUUUGUGGAAACCAGAGGGUCUCAUUCUUUAUCCUUGAGGAGGACCAAGCUGAUCCGUCUGACCCUGUUGGUGGUCUCUGCAACAGACUUCUGGAGGCAGACUGGAGAUCUUCACUCUGUGAGCCCUGAGGUUCACAGAACCCCAAGGCCAGGCUGAUCCAUAGGAACAGGGGUGUCCUGAGGGUCAUCUUUUGUUCUGGCUCAAGAUUUGAGCCACCAGAGACACUUGUUGAGAAGGCAUGUUUCUAGGGCUACAUCCUGGUAGGCCGCAGAGGAUGGCCCAAAGAUGUUAAUCUUUAUAGAAAUCCUCAUUGGUGAAUCAGGCCCUUUCUCCAGCUACUGCUUGAAUAAAAACAUUAAUGCUUCCUUCCUUUUAAGCUCUGCUUUCUGACCUUGUUUGUUCUCAAGAGUUACCUGGAAAGCUUUAAAAAUUGUAGCUCCCCAGGAAUCUCUCUAGAAGACUGGAUUGAUUUGGAUACUGGAUUCAAUUUUUACAUAACUGUUGUAGGUAUACAGGUUGAGAAGGAGUACUCCUAGAUUUGCUAUGCAUUUGGAGAAGUGGAUCUGCAUGGCCACUUACAGAUAGCCAGACUGAGAUCCAGAAAUGGAAAAUGAUCAUAGACCCAAGAAUAGAAUAGCAUUCUGAUGUCUUGUUUUUUCCUGAAGGAAUUAUCUUUUUUUUUUUUUUUUUUUAAUCUGGAGCCUACUUUGUACUUUCAAGCCAUUCACUGCUGUGCAAAAGCUAGCUUUCUAAACACUUGCAGGGGGCAUUUCUUUGCACCGAAUUAUGUAUUUUACUUAUUCCUUCCUUGUGUUAUUGAAUAAUUCUUUUCCACAUCAGGCAGGAAACAGGUUCUAUGUCUCCUUGGAUUUGGGAUGGUUUGUUGC
rnacentral:lncRNA from 1 species